rnacentral:rRNA from 1 species
UUGGAGGGCAAGUCUGGUGCCAGCAGCCGCGGUAAUUCCAGCUCCAAUAGCGUAUAUUAAAGUUGUUGCAGUUAAAAAGCUCGUAGUUGAAUUUCGGGGUCAGUAGGUCGGUCGUGCCACUGGUAUGAACUGGUUUUACUGAUUCCUCCCUCUUGAAGAACUGUAAUGCCAUUAAUUUGGUGUUGCAGGGAAUCAGGACUGUUACUUUGAAAAAAUUAGAGUGUUUAAAGCAGGCUUUAGCUUGAAUACAUUAGCAUGGAAUAAUGAAAUAGGACGUUUGAUCCUAUUUUGUUGGUUUCUAGGAUUGACGUAAUGAUUAAUAGGGAUAGUUGGGGGCAUUAGUAUUCAAUUGUCAGAGGUGAAAUUCUUGGAUUUAUUGAAGACUAACUAUUGCGAAAGCAUUUGCCAAGGAUGUUUUCAUUAAUCAAGAACGAAAGUUAGGGGAUCGAAGACGAUCAGAUACCGUCGUAGUCUUAACCAUAAACUAUGCAGACUAGGGAUCGGACGAAGUUAAUUUUAUAAUGACGCGUUCGGCGCCUUACGGGAAAC